GGCAGUUCUCAGGUGACACAACCCGAAAUCAGACUCCCUCCUCUCUGGUUCCACAGUACGUCACCUGAGAACCUCU
rfam:Myotis brandtii contig203920, whole genome shotgun sequence.